CUCAAGUUUUAUUAAAAGUUUGGAGUGAGAUUACAUCUGUUAGGGGAGGAGCCACUCAAAUAUUUGCAGCAGCGGCCCCUCUGCCCCACCAAAUUCUCUCAAGUUUUUGCUAGCAGUUUAAUUUUACCUACAGUGUUGUUCAUAAUUGACCAGCACAAAUAGAAAUUAUGCUGCUUGUUGACUGAAGUGCCUGUUCUUUGGCCUGAUUACCUUUAUGUUUUAUAUGCCUGUUCACAUCUGAGUUCUCCUGUCUGCAAACAGAGCACCAGUUGUAGGAGCUGCUGGUGCCUAUGGUAAUGAAUGGCCAUUUGGUUGACCACUCAUUUUUUAAAGUACACCUGGUGGCUGCUCCACUUAAUGCUUUCUUCUUCUUCCCUGUCUUGUCCACUGUCUCCUCUAUGGUCUCUUCUACUUUCUCUCCAACUGUCACUCUUACUAUCUUCUCCAUCGUUUCUGCCUCCACCUCUUCCACUGUCUCCUCCUCUGAUCUAGCAACCUUUUUAGGGGGCUGACCCUUUGGUGCCCAGAAUGAAAUAAUACUCUUUUGCUUUUUUCUCUGACAUCUUUGAAACAGACAAAUGCAAUGAUUAAUGUAUGCAUUGCCAGUAAAUUAAAUAUUACUGAAAUGAUAGCCAGAGAGCUCUGCUUUAAGAGAUGUAGUCUUAACAUUGCUGAAAAGAGUAUUAAUACAGUAGAAUUUGAAAUAAAAUAAUGAAAUACAUCUCUAGUACUUUCCUUAGUUUCAGAUAGCCAAACUAAGCUAAAACAGUUGGGAGAGUUUUUGACUGCAUCAAUAAUAAUUUAGCAUGAAUUUGGCUAUAUUCCCCAACAUCAGCUCUCACUAUUAUUGGUCACAGGCAAGUGAUUUCAUCUAGGAAUUGUAAAAUCAAAAUGCUAAAAAAAAAAAAAAAAAAAAAAAAAAAAAAAAAGAUUUUAAGCAUCUAAAAUCUUAAGCAUUUUGACAGAAUUUUACUUAAAGAACAUUACUUAAAUGGUUCUUAUAUUGAAAAUGUUAAUUUCCUGUCAUCUGCUAGGUUUUUCCUAAUAUCUGUAAUUAUUAGCAGAACACAUUUUACACAUGGGGAAAAUCAAUUGUGCUCUUGUCUUAAUUCUAACUUGUACUUGGCCUUUUGAAAAACUAUAGUUCUUGUAAUUGUCUUGUAAUAUAUUUAUAGAAUUUGUUACAAUAAGGAUAUAAUUACAGGUAAAAGCAGCCUAUACACAUAGUAACUACAGCACAGUAUGCCACAGUUGUAAUAUAAAUCUUUGGUGAAAAAUCUAUUCCCUUAACAGAUAAUCUAUUAUAAAUUCUACAAGUUAGUCAAUUUACCACAAUAAAUACAGUAGGUAAAUUCUAGUAAAGGAGGUCUUUCUAUUUUAUGUUGGUGCAGGAUGAUGUUUUCUCAGCGUCGCGAUAGGAACGGCUCGCACAAAUCUUAUCACACUUUUGGAGUGCACUGGUGAACGCGCGCAGAGUAUACAGCUAUUCGCGCGCCACGCAUGCACAAUUAAAUAAACUGGGCUUCGGUCAUGUUGCGCAGAUAAUUGGUCCGUUCCGUUCGUACGGGAACUUGGUGCUUAUAAUAGUUCAACGCGCAAUGUAUAAUAGCCUCCUCCAUUAAUUGUAUAUAGAGGGACAAGUUAUCCCUUACUUCUCAGCGUGAGAAAUACAAGUUGUGGCGUGUGCGCGUGUGAAAUGGUUGAAAUGCGUGUGUCUCACGGUGAAUGCGUGAGACUUGAGAGCCCUGCUUGUGUCAGAAAUAGCGCGAGCGCUUGGACUCGGAGUACCGUACUUCAGAAAUAUGACGGGGCAUCAGUAUACAGUCUGGGAUUUGUCGUGUUGCGCCGGAGCAUCCAGUGUAAACAAUAUCACUAAUUAAUAAUGGGUUCUGUCUUUUUGCUGGAUCGCGCUAUUUGUGUCAGGGGUAGAGACAGAACCAGCGCGGCAGCGCCACAAUGCACCUCAUGAAGACUUAUCCCCGAGAGAGAGAGACCAGCAAGCAAGGACGUGUGCUGGAGAGGAGCUGAGUGUGUGUGUGAGUGAUUGACGGUUCUGCUUAAAGAUUUUAGAGCAAGAUGAGCUUGCCGUCUGUGAGUGCAGAGCCAAGGUAUGUUGUGAUUUCUGAUUACUCACCUUUUGCUGCAAGGAAACACACACACACACACACACACACACACACACACGCUCCUGUGUUCAUGAUGAUGAGCAACAAAUCUCUUUUUUUCUCUCCUGUUCUCUUUCGCAAACACAAUUUCAUAACAAAAACAAAUGUAGACAUAUAAGCCAUUUCAUAGAUGCAUAAUCUGAAAGAGUGGGAUGUUACGGUUGAAGUGUGCUUCUAUUCUCUCUGUAUCUCUCUGUCUCUGUUUUCUGUGCUGAGUCAUUAGGGCUUUCUUUACUGAUGAUGUUUACAGACAGUCCUCUUCUUCUUUUGCCAUGCAAAACAAAAGAAGACGCAAACUAUGCCCAGCAUUGACAUAGAAACAAUAUAUUUAUUUUGUGUCCUGUUUACAUACAUGUAUAUACACUCUCAGAAAAAAGGACACAAAAGCUGUCAUAGUGGUGGUAUACUUUCAAGGGGUGUUUAGUGUGUAUUUUAGUACCUAAAUGGUACAUAUUAGUACCGUUUUAGAGGGUAUCGUCCCAGUGACAGCUUUUGUACCUCUUUUUUCUAAGAGUGUAUGCUAUAGUAUUAUAUAGAAUAAUAUAUAGUACUGAUAAUUACUGACCAUAAAUGGCUUAGGUGUCCUUAAGACACACUUCAAAAUGUAUGAAUUCGCAUUAGAUAAAAUAUCAAAAUCAUGUUAGAGCAUUGAUUAAUUUUAGUGGAUUUAUGAAUUCAGUUCCUUUGAAACUCUUUUGAUUCUAUUUGCGUCGUAGUUUUUGACCGAUCUUUGUUCUGGUGUUCUUAUGAUCAGGAGAUGUUAAAAGUCAAGUCCCUCUUAUUCACUGAUUACCUUGUUUCUAAUGUCUGCUCUCUUAAGUGUCUCAGAUGGGGCUCACCUCCCACUAAGCUGUCUGGACUAAUUGAAAUCAGGCUUGAACACACUUUUCUGGACUUUUUAGCAAAGGUCAGGUGCUGAGAAGGAGCACUUGGAGGUUCGGCCUCAGAAAAUAUAAUAAAUAAAUAAAUACUGGUUUAAUAAAAAGCUAAGCUCAACCGACAUUACCAUAAAAUAAUUUUCUAUUUCAAAAAUUAAAAAACAAAAAACUGUUACAAUGAGGCACUUACAAUAGAAUGAAUGAAUUUUUAAAUACUCACUAUUUCAGUAGUAUAGCCACAAGACAUAAACAACAUGCAUGUUAAAAUGAUUUUAAUGUGUUACAGUUUUUUUGGAUUGCUUACACACUAAAAUUAAAAGUAGUACACUAUUAGCAAAACCUUACACUCAAGAAGCAAAACAUCAGCCCAUAUUUGCACAACUACAAGCACAUUGUCAACCUCACACUUGUUGAAAAACUCUACACACAGUGAUUUGCAAAACACUAAACACACUUAACAUACAUUACACACAAAAAUCUAUCAUGAAGUCACUUCCUUGCAAUACCAAAGCACUGACUGUCAAAUUACCGCACCGUCCAACCAAUUGGUUCAACACAGUCAUCAGGUGUGCAAACACUUGUUUGCUUAAUUGUAGACACGCCAAUCAGGUGUAUAAGCACUAUAAAAAGCAGCAGGUGAGUUCAUCGGUCUUCAAGCACAAUGGAAAGAGUCAGAGAAAGAGUAAGACGAGGAGGAGGACAAGGAGGAGGAGGAGGAGGAGGAGGAGGAGGAGGAGGAGGAGGAGGAAGGGGAGGAAGAGGAAUCAACAGAGGAGGAAUCAACAGAGGAAGAGGAAGAGAUGGGGGCCAUGCUGGAGGUAGAGGUAGAGGUAGAGGUAGAGGAAGAGGAAGAGGAAGACAAGAAGGUGCUCAAAGAGGACCGAAUCUGACAAAUGAGAUCCGCGCAACACUGGUUGACCACGUUGUCAACCACGGCCUGACGCUGAGGGAGGCUGGACUGCGAGUACAGCCAAAUCUAAGCCGAUACACAGUGGCAAGUGUGAUAAGAACAUUUCGACUGGAAAAUAGGUAUUGUAAAAAUAUCAUCAUAUCAAAAACAUCUGCAAGGUUUCAGUAACUGCUUACAGUACUGUAUUCUAUGCACUAUCAGCACUUCUGUGACCUUUUUCUGUGAAAUUACUGUAGUAUUGUAUACUGUUUUUUUUUGUUUUUUUUUCUACAUAGGAUUGAGGGUCAGGAACGACAAGGGGGAAGGCCUCCUAUGUUCACAGAACAGCAAGAGAGGGAGAUAGUAAACAUGGUUUUGGCCAACAAUGCUAUAACACUCAAUCAGCUCCAAGCUAACAUUGUCAAUAACCACGCCAGUUUCAACGAUAUCCAUCAGGUCUCAACAUCAACACUGGCACGCAUCCUAAAAAAAAAACAUAUUCAAAUGAAGCAAAUUUAUCGAGUGCCUUUCGAGCGCAAUUCCGAAAGGGUGAAACGACUGCGGCGUGAUUAUGCAGAGAGAGUUUUAUGAAUGGAUGGAGAGGAGAUCCAGCAUGAGUUCAUUUACGUAGAUGAGGCUGGGUUCCACCUGACGAGAACACGAAGGAGGGGAAGAAACAUCAUUGGCCACAGGGCUAUAGUCAAUGUCCCAGGGCAAUGUGGGGGUAAUAUAACACUCUGUGCAGCCAUUACACAGAAUGGGGUCCUCCACCGCCAUGCCCAUAUGGGCCCUUACAACACAGCACUCAUACUUACAUUCUUGGACCAACUGCACAACAUAACAGCAGCAAAUCAAAUCGAGCAUAUGCAAUACAUUGUUGUCUGGGACAAUGUGUCUUUCCACCGCUCUGCUCUGGUUCAGAACUGGUUUCAGCAACAUCCACAUUUCACCGUCCUAUAUCUUCCACCAUACUCUCCAUUCCUCAACCCUAUAGAAGAAUUUUUCUCGGCAUGGCGGUGGAAGGUAUAUGAUCUCCGUCUCCAGGCUGAGGUACCCCUCAUCCAAGCCAUGGAGGAGGCCUGUGACCAGAUGGAGGUAGCAGCAAUGCAAGGAUGGAUUCGUCAUUCAAGACGUUUCUUUCCUAGGUGUCUUGCUAAUGACAACAUUGCCUGCGAUGUUGAUGAAAUUCUCUGGCCAGAUCCAGCUAGGCGAAGAGACAAUGUGUAGUGUUUUUUUUUGUUUGUUUUUUUUAACAGUACAAUACGUAAAGUGGCAUUUUGUUACAGUAUUAUGAAUCUCCAUGUCAACAUUUUGGGCGUGUUCAGAAAUAAAUGAGUUUCUUCAGUCUGCAACAUUGGUCUUGUGUAGUGUUUGGUGAAUUUACAUUAUAUUUGUACUUUGUUGAUGGUAGCCUACUCUAAUCAUAGGGAAGUAGAAGUGCUAAAAGUGUUUUAGGUUUAUCACAGCAGAGUGUAACUCGUGCAAACAGAGUACAGUAAUGUGAAACGUGUGUGUUUCAUAUGGUAACAAAGUGCGGUUUUUAAACAGAAGUGUAUAGUUUUUACAAGAGUGUUUAAUUAUGCAAAGGAUCUGUAGUGUUUUGCUAAUUGGGUGUGUGGUUGUGCUAAUUGUGUGUAGUGUUUUGAAAACACGGGCCCUGUUUUAAAAAUCGUGCUUAAGCAAUCCAAAAAAAACUGUAAAUUGCUUAGUAACCAUUUCUCGCUAAAAUUAUAUCCAAUUUUACAACUUCAAUGAAACAAUCUCAAAAUGACCAACAAAAUUAUAAGAACAACUUUACAGUUCAAAUAAUGUGCAAGU